UUAGACAUUCUUGUUUCUUAAUUAUUAUAUUUUUCUGUUUCGAAAAUCAGCACGUCGUUUGCAGGCAAGAUUCAGAGUGAUGUUUCGUUCUCUGGUAAAACAUACUAUGGAUGUUAUUAGAAGUCCUGAACAAUUUCUGAGAAUAUAUUGUUGGAUGACGAUCGGCAAUGUUAUAUGUUGGAGAUCUGUCAAAGGGUUUGCUCUCAAGCAAGAGUUGAAUACAUUGAAGAACACCGCUGGUCGUACAGAUCGAAGUUAGAGACCCUUAAUACUUGCAUCUGCAGUGUUAUUUAUUUUUCAUGGUUCUGUGUAUAUAAAGAUAAUGUAAGACAACAUACUAUUGUUGACCUAUUUUGUUUCUGGCAAGGGGGUUGUCAUGUAAUGGUUGUUUUUAUUAUUUCCUAAUAAUGGAGGAGGAGAGAAAAGAGACCUUUUGUAAUCUUGCUCUAAGCUAUACUAGUAUUCAGCUAAUAGAACGCUGAAUUUUCAGUUUGCCUCUUUUAUAUGGAUGCCAUGCCAGUAUUUGAAACGGGCCGCAUCUUCAUGUGAAAUUUUGCUGUUAGGUUGUGUGGAACCUAUGGAAGACAUAGGGGGUCUAUUUCUUUCAAUUUUUACGUUUCCGUGUGAAAUGUUUUCCUUCAAUUUCAGAAUUUGAUUGUGGAUAACCUAGAUAUGAGUUCUUUU